rnacentral:tRNA from 1 species
GCCGUGGUGUUGAAAUUGGUAGACAAGCACCGUUCAGGGCGGUGUGUCGCAAGGCAUGGAGGUUCAAAUCCUCUCCACGGCAC